GCUUGUCUCAAAGAUUAAGCCAUGCAUGUCUCAGUAUAAGUUCCUGUACGGCGAAACUGCGAAUGGCUCAUUAAAACAGUUACAGUUUAUUUGAUGGUCGUUCCUUACAUGGAUAACUGUGGUAAUUCUAGAGCUAAUACAUGCACCAAGCGCGCUUUUACGAGCGCGUGUAUUUAUUAGAUACAAUCAACCCUUCGGGUUUUGAUGAGUCAUAAUAACUGAACUAAGCGCAUGCUUUGGCGGCGCUGUUUCAUUCAAGUUUCUGCCCUAUCAGCUUUCGAUGGUAGGGUAUUGGCCUACCAUGGCGUUCACGGGUAACGGAGAAUUAGGGUUCGAUUCCGGAGAGGGAGCCUGAGAGAUGGCUACCACAUCCAAGGAAGGCAGCAGG
rnacentral:rRNA from 1 species